AGCGGCGGACGGGUGAGUAACGCGUGGGUAACCUGCCUCAUACAGGGGGAUAACAGUUGGAAGCGGCUGCUAAUACCGCAUAAGCGCACAGUACCGCAUGGUACGGUGUGAAAAACUCCGGUGGUAUGAGAUGGACCCGCGUCUGAUUAGGUAGUUGGUGGGGUAACGGCCUACCAAGCCGACGAUCAGUAGCCGACCUGAGAGGGUGACCGGCCACAUUGGGACUGAGACACGGCCCAA
rnacentral:rRNA from 1 species